AUUAGAGUUUGAUCCUGGCUCAGGAUGAACGCUGGCGGCGUGCUUAACACAUGCAAGUCGAACGAUGAAGCCUGGUGCUUGCACCGGGUGGAUUAGUGGCGAACGGGUGAGUAUCACGUGAGUAACCUACCCUUGACUCUGGGAUAAGCCCGGGAAACUGGGUCUAAUACCGGAUAUGACCAGUCACCGCAUGGUGUGCUGGUGGAAAGCUUUAGCGGUUUUGGAUGGACUCGCGGCCUAUCAGCUAGACGGUGAGGUAAUGGCUCACCGUGGCGAUGACGGGUAGCCGGCCUGAGAGGGUGACCGGCCACACUGGGACUGAGACACGGCCCAGACUCCUACGGGAGGCAGCAGUGGGGAAUAUUGCACAAUGGGCGCAAGCCUGAUGCAGCGACGCCGCGUGUGGGAUGACGGCCUUCGGGUUGUAAACCACUUUCAGCAGGGAAGAAGCUUUUUGUGACGGUACCUGCAGAAGAAGCGCCGGCUAACUACGUGCCAGCAGCCGCGGUAAUACGUAGGGCGCGAGCGUUAUCCGGAAUUAUUGGGCGUAAAGAGCUCGUAGGCGGUUUGUCACGUCUGCUGUGAAAGCCCGGGGCUUAACCCCGGGUGUGCAGUGCGUACGGGCAGACUGGAGUGCAGUAGGGGAGACUGGAAUUCCUGGUGUAGCGGUGAAAUGCGCAGAUAUCAGGAGGAACACCGAUGGCGAAAGGCAGGUCUCUGGGCUGUUACUGACGCUGAGGAGCGAAAGCAUGGGGAGCGAACAGGAUUAGAUACCCUGGUAGUGCAUGCCGUAAACGUUGGGCACUAGGU
rnacentral:rRNA from 1 species